UCCGGGUUGGACCCGGCGGUCCCGCCAGACAUCGUAACUGGCAGCGAGGGUUGCGCUCGUUGCGGGACUUAACCCAACACCUCACGGCACGAGCUGACGACAGCCGUGCAGCAUCUGUGCACGCUCCCUUGCGGGUCGUCCCCGUUUCCGGGUUCUACCACGUGCAUGUCAAGCCCAGGUAAGGUUCUUCGCGUUGCAUCGAAUUAAACCACACGCUCCGCUGCUUGUGCGGGCCCCCGUCAAUUCCUUUGAGUUUUAGCCUUGCGGCCGUAGUCCCCAGGCGGUGCACUUAUUGCGUUAGCGGCGGCACCGGGGGGGUCGAUACCCCCGACACCUAGUGCACAUCGUUUACGGCGUGGACUAC
rnacentral:misc_RNA from 1 species